rnacentral:tRNA from 1 species
GGAUGUGGCUCAAGUGGUAGCGCGCUUGCCUGGCACGUGUGAGACACUGGGUUCGAUCCUCAGCACCA